UACGUAGGCAGCAAGCGUUGUUCGGAGUUACUGGGCGUAAAGAGUAUGUAGGCGGUUGCGUAAGUUCGGUGUGAAAUCUCCCGGCUCAACUGGGAGGGUGCGCCGAAAACUGCGUGGCUAGAGUGCGGGAGAGGAGAGCGGAAUUCCUGGUGUAGCGGUGAAAUGCGUAGAUAUCAGGAGGAACACCGGCGGUGUAGACGGCUCUCUGGACCGUUACUGACGCUGAGAUACGAAAGCGUGGGGAG
rnacentral:rRNA from 1 species